AGUGAACGCUGGCGGUAGGCCUAACACAUGCAAGUCGAACGGCAGCACAGUAAGGGCUUGCUCUUACGGGUGGCGAGUGGCGGACGGGUGAGGAAUACAUCGGAAUCUACUUUUUCGUGGGGGAUAACGUAGGGAAACUUACGCUAAUACCGCAUACGACCUACGGGUGAAAGCAGGGGAUCUUCGGACCUUGCGCGAUUGAAUGAGCCGAUGUCGGAUUAGCUAGUUGGCGGGGUAAAGGCCCACCAAGGCGACGAUCCGUAGCUGGUCUGAGAGGAUGAUCAGCCACACUGGAACUGAGACACGGUCCAGACUCCUACGGGAGGCAGCAGCGGGGAAUAUUGGACAAUGGGCGCAAGCCUGAUCCAGCCAUACCGCAUGGGUGAAGAAGGCCUUCGGGUUGUAAAGCCCUUUUGUUGGGAAAGAAAAGCAGCAGGUUAAUACCCCGCUGUUCUGACGGUACCCAAAGAAUAAGCACCGGCUAACUUCGUG
rnacentral:rRNA from 1 species